GAUGAAGAACGCAGCGAAAUGCGAUAAGUAGUGUGAAUUGCAGAAUUCAGUGAAUCAUCGAAUCUUUGAACGCGCAUUGCGCCCCUUGGUAUUCCAUGGGGCAUGCCUGUUCGAGCGUCAUUUGUACCUUCAAGCUUUGCUUGGUGUUGGGUGUUUGUCUCGCCUUUGCGUGUAGACUCGCCUUAAAAUAAUUGGCAGCCGGCGUAUUGAUUUCGGAGCGCAGUACAUCUCGCGCUUUGCACUCAUAACGACAGCGUCCAAAAGUACAUUUUACACUCUUGACCUCGGAUCAGGUAGGGAUACCCGCUGAACUUAAGCAUAUCAAUAAGCGGAGGA
rnacentral:misc_RNA from 1 species